rnacentral:rRNA from 1 species
UUAGGCAACAUGACCCCGUAACUUCGGGAGAAGGGGUACCCUCCUUUGUGUUAAAGCUUCGGAGGGUCGCAGUGAAAUGGCUCUGGUGACUGGUUAACAAAACCACAGGUCUCUGCUAAGCCGUAAGGCGAUGUAUAGGGGCAGACGCGUGCCCAGUGCCGGAAGGUUAAAGGGAGAGGUUAGCGCAAGCGAAGCUUUGAACUGAAGCCCCGGUGAACGGCGGCCGUAACUAUAACGGUCCUAAGGUAGCGAAAUUCCUUGUCGGGUAAGUUCCGACCCGCACGAACCGCGUAACAAUUAGAGCACUGUCUCGACGAGAGACCCGGUGAAAUUGAAAUGGCUGUGAAGAUGCGGCCUACCCGCAGUAGGACAAAAAGACCCCGUGGAGCUUUACUGCAACUUGGCAUUGUAUUUGGAUAUGAUCUGUGUAGGAUAGGUGGGAGGCUUUGAAGCUGGCGCGCUAGCGUCGGUGGAGCCAAUGGUGGAAUACCACCCUGAUCAUGUUUAGAUCCUAACCCAUUCCGUCAUCCGGAUGGGGGACCGUGCCAGGUGGGCAGCUUGACUGGGGCGGUCGCCUCCUAAAAGGUAACGGAGGCGCCCAAAGGUUCCCUCAGGUGGAAUGGAAACCCACCAUAGAGUGUAAAGGCAUAAGGGAGCUUGACUGUAAGGCCAACGCGCCGAACAGAGACGAAAGUCGGGCUUAGUGAUCCCACAGUACCGAGUGGAAGGGCUGUGGCUUACCGGAUAAAAGCUACCCCGGGGAUAACAGGCUGGUGAGAUCCAAGAGUUCACAUCGACGAUCUCGCUCGGCACCUCGAUGUCGGCUCAUCGCAUCCUGGGGCUGGACAAGGUCCCAAGGGUCGGGCUGUUCGCCCGUUAAAGCGGUACGCGAGCUGGGUUCAGACCGUCGUGAGACAGGUCGGUCUCUAUCCACUGUGGGCGUAAGGGAUUUGAAGGGAGCUGCUCCUAGUACGAGAGGACCGGAGUGGACAGACCUCUAGUGUGCCAGUUGUUCCGCCAGGAGCAUCGCUGGGUAGCCAUGUCUGGCAGAGAUAACCGCUGAAAGCAUCUAAGUGGGAAACUCGCCCUAAGAUUAGAUCCCUGUGACCCGUAAGGGUGUAAGACCCCAGAUAGACUAUCUGGUUAAUAGGCAGCAUGUGUAAGCGCAGUAAUGUGUUAAGCUAAGCUGUACUAAUGGUCGAGGGCUUCCG